AUUGAACGCUGGCGGCAGGCCUAACACAUGCAAGUCGAGCGAGCGGCGGACGGGUGAGUAAUGUAUGGGGACUGCUCGAUAGAGGGGGAUAACUACUGGAAACGGUGGCUAAUACCGCAUACUAUCGGAUAACCCAUAUGGGAUUAGCUAGUAGGUGGGGUAAAGGCUCACCUAGGCGACGAUCUCUAGCUGGUCUGAGAGGAUGAUCAGCCACACUGGGACUGAGACACGGCCCAGACUCCUACGGAGGCAGCAGUGGGGAAUAUUGGAACAUGGGCGAGAGACUGAUGCACCCAUGCCGGGUGUAUGAAGAGUGCCUUAGGGUUGUAAAGUACUUUCGGCGGGAGGGCGUUACCCGAAGAGGAAGCACCGGCUAACUCCGUGCCAGCAGCCGCGGUAAUUC
rnacentral:rRNA from 1 species